UACGGAGGGUGCAAGCGUUAAUCGGAAUGACUGGGCGUAAAGGGUGCGUAGGUGGUUAAUUAAGUUAUAGGUGAAAUCAUCGGGCUUAACCUGGUGCGGAAUUAUAAAACUGAUUAACUCGAGUAUGGGAGAGGGUAGUGGAAUUUCCGGUGUAGCGGUGAAAUGCGUAGAGAUCGGAAGGAACACCAGUUGCGAAGGCGGCUACCUGGCCUAAUACUGACACUGAGGCACGAAAGCGUGGGGAGCAAACAGG
rnacentral:rRNA from 1 species